UGAGGUUCACGUCAAAGGUAUCAACGUCAACGAAUCUUAAUCGAACCUAACCAACAUGGAUAAAAAUAUAAGCCAUGGAAGACUGAAGAAGAGAGAUUGAAAAAGUCGGCGAAAACUAAAUCCACUACAGGACGAUGUAGAAGACCCCCCCCCCCCAAGAAGUCACAGCAUGUCACGUCAGCAUCUAGCUCUGCAG